GGCUUUCUGGAAAGCGUUGAGGAGGUGGCACUCCAUGUUAACACAGAGGCCAUCAAAACACAGACAAUAUUUCAAUCAGGCCUGGAAGGAUCAAUAGGGUCAAUGUAGUGAGGUGGGGAGAUGAGAAAAGGGGAAAGAAGGGAAGGACAUUUCAAGCAGAGAGCCCAGAAGUAUAAGAAGACAGUAAUUCCCAGCGGCAGGAUAUGUGAAUGGCAUUGGAAGGGAAAUCUAGAAUCUAGUCCCAAAGAAACAAUGUAUCUUACUAAGGACUUGGGACUUUAUCCUGCCUGCAAUUGGUUUUGAAAUUCUACCCUUUGCUCUUAGAGAUUAAGUAUAACAAUAAUGAAAAUAACAUAACUUAUUGGGCAGUUAUUAAAUGCCAGAAACCACCUUAAGUAUUUGAACUGUUUUCAAAUUUAAUCCUCAAAACAAACCUAUGAAGUAGGAACGAUUAUUAUCCUAAUUGUAUAUGAAGGAAACUGAGGCUUAGAGAAUUUCCACUGAGAUGGAGGCAGAGGAAGAAAAGAGGGGAAAAUUUUUCAUUUUCUGUAACAAAUUUGGUGGUGAAUAUACAUUUGAACAAAGUAUUUCUUUGCCAAGAAAAAAACACUGUCUAAGAGGAUGGGGAGACAUUGAUUGCACUUUAAUGAAAGUUGGCAGAGCUAGAGGAGAUCCCUAGUUUUUCUUAUUAUUAGCCCCUCCUUCACCCCAUUUUCAGAAUGAAUACAAAGAAGAAGGUAGGGAAAGAAAAUUAUACAAGGAGGUGCUGUCAUCUCCAGCAGGGCCCCUCUGGAAUCACUGCUAUUCCUCCACUCUGCUUCUUUCCUCCAACAUGAGUUGUUAGCAGUAACAGUAAGCCAUCUUGUAGUGCUUGCUGUAUGCUAGACCUAAACUAAACACUUCACGGGUGUUUGCUCAUUUUGUCUUCAAAACAGCAUCAUUCACAGCCUGCUUGCUACCUCAAUUCACAAUUGAGGAAACUGAUGCUUGGUGGGGAGGGGGUCCAUGAUUCUUCGCUGUAAUACUGCCUGUAACCUUUCUCCAUCCACUUCCAUUUCUCUGUCCCUUUCUUCUCUCAGCCAUUGUCAUCUAGGUAACAGUGCUGUUCCAUGAACCUGUGGAAUUUCUUACU
rnacentral:lncRNA from 1 species